rnacentral:rRNA from 1 species
UACGUAGGGGGCAAGCGUUGUCCGGAUUUAUUGGGCGUAAAGAGCGUGUAGGCGGCCUUACAGGUCAGCUGUGAAACUCGAGGCUCAACCUCGAGACGUCGGUUGAAACCGUAUGGCUAGAGUCCGGAAGAGGAGAGUGGAAUUCCCGGUGUAGCGGUGAAAUGCGCAGAUAUCAGGAAGAACACCCGUGGCGAAGGCGGCUCUCUGGAACGCAACUGGACGCUGAGACGCGAAAGCGUGGGGAGCAAACAGG